ACGCUGGCGGCAUGCUUAACACAUGCAAGUCGAACGAGAAUCUGCGGAUCGAGGAUUCGUCCAAGUGAAGCAGAGGACAGUGGCGGACGGGUGAGUAACGCGUGGGGAACCUGUCUCACACAGGGGGAUAACGCACCGAAAGGUGUGCUAAUACCGCAUAAGACCACGGUACCGCAUGGUACAGGGGUCAAAGGAGCAAUCCGGUGUGAGGUGGCCUCGCGUCUGAUUAGGUAGUUGGUGAGGUAACGGCCCACCAAGCCGACGAUCAGUAGCCGACCUGAGAGGGUGAUCGGCCACAUUGGAACCGAGACACGGUCCAAACUCCUACGGGAGGCAGCAGUGGGGAAUAUUGGGCAAUGGGCGAAAGCCUGACCCAGCGACGCCGCGUGAAGGAAGAAGGUCUUCGGAUUGUAAACUUUUGUCAGCAGGGAAGAAGAAAGUGACGGUACCUGCUAAGAAAGCCACGGCUAACUACGUG
rnacentral:rRNA from 1 species